rnacentral:rRNA from 1 species
GUGUCAGCCGCCGCGGUAAUACAGAGGUCUCAACCGUUGUUCGGAUUCAUUGGGCGUAAAGGGUGCGUAGGCGGCGGGGUAAGUCAGGUGUGAAAUCUCGGGGCUCAACCCCGAAACUGCACUUGAUACUGCCUCGCUUGAGUACUGGAGAGGAGACUGGAAUUUACGGUGUAGCAGUGAAAUGCGUAGAUAUCGUAAGGAAGACCAGUGGCGAAGGCGAGUCUCUGGACAGUUACUGACGCUGAGGCACGAAGGCCAGGGGAGCAAACGGGAUUAGAAACCCUCGUAGUCC